rnacentral:tRNA from 1 species
UCCCUGGUGGCUCAGACGGUAAAGUGUCUGUCUGCAAUGCAGGAGACCCGGGUUCGAUCCCUGGGUUGGGAA